UGACUUUGUUGCCAGUCAGGUGGACCACAGCCUAACCCAAGUCGUCGUUUCCACAAUAUAGUUUCUCUCUCAUCCCUUAAGCUUCGCAUAUUCACAUCUUCAAUCUACAGUACUUAAAGGAGCAAAUACCCAAUUCAGAGAUAUAUUAUCAUUAUUCAGGAUUCAGGAUUCAGGAUUCAGGAUUCAGGAUUCAGGAUGUCAAAUGACUGGAUUAUGGCCUCUGAUUUGAUUUGGGGGAAAGUGAGGAACUUGAAAGGGGGAAACCAAACUGAAUCUGGGGUUACAUCUGUCAGUAUGAAGAAAAAUUAUGUUGUUCAAUCGUGUGGAAAGCGUCAGAGAGAAGAAAGUGUGGAAUUAGGAGUCAGGUCCAUAGUAGGAAAACUGAACUUGGAAUAUGUAGAAAAGAUUGUGAGUUGGUUGAAAGAUGAUAAGAUAAACAAAAUUGGCGUGUUUGGGAUGGGUGGUUGCGGCAAGACGACCCUUGCCGUUCAUGUUUACAACCGACUUCUACGGAGUGAGCUUACGUAUGUUGUUGUGUGGGUGACUGUAGGGAUGGGUUUUGAUAUUCACAAUUUGCAACUGUGUAUUUCAAACGCUGUCGGCCUUGACCUUGAUCACGAGAAGGACGAAACAAGGAGAGCUGCUAGGUUGCAUAGUUUUUUGUCUAAGAGAGGAAAAUAUGUGUUGAUCCUUGACAAUUUGUGGGACCAUUUUUCCUUUGAGAAAGUUGGGAUCCCGUCCUCUGGUGCGUGUAAGGUGAUCAUAACGACUCGAAUGUUGAGUGUUUGUAGGAGAAUUAACUGCCACAAGACAAUUAAGAUUGGCAUGCUUGGGCCUUGUGAAACAUGGGAGUUAUUUUGCAGCGUAUAUGGACAUGAAGCGUUCACUUCUGACGACAUUAGAGAUGUAGCACGGCUUGUCUGUCAGGAUUGUGGAGGUCUCCCACUUGCUAUUGUUCAUUUCGGUCGGAGUUUGAGGGGAGUGAAUAGUGUUUCUGAGUGGAAACUUAUUCUGCAUAGACUCAAAGGGAUGGAAAAUGAUUUUCUGAUAACCAAGCAUUUAUUUCUGAAACUGCAUUCUUCUUAUGCAAAGUUGACCAGUGAAAAACUCAGGCUUUCUCUCUUGUAUUGCACUUUGUACCCUAAAGACUGCACAAUCUCUAGAGAAGAGUUAAUACGUCUUUGGAUUUCCGUGGGUCUAAUAGAGGAGGUGUCAUCUUUGCAAACACAAUAUGACAAGGGUCACACCAUACUGAAUAAUCUCGUGGACUGCAGCUUGCUGGAAUCCUCAAAAGAUGGGCAUUUUGUGAAAAUGCAUGAUAUGAUCAGGAAUAUGGCUAUUAGAAUCACUGGACAAGAAACCGGACCAAAGUUUUUGGUCAAAUGUGGUGCACAGUUACAAUACUUGGAGGAGUUAAAGGAAGAUUUCCGUGCUGUUUCACUGUCGAGAAAUAACAUUACGGAAAUCCCUUUCGGCGCUUCUCCAAAGUGUCCCAAGCUUUUAGUCUUGCUGUUGCAGCAGAACCCUUUGAAAAAUGUUCCUGCUUCGUUCUUUUUGCAUAUGCCGAAUCUCCAUGUCCUUAACCUUUCAAGCACUUUCAUUCAGAGACUACCUGACUCAAUAAGUGACCUGAAGAGUCUAAAAAGCUUACUUCUUCGUUGUUGUCAGAAGCUCACGUAUGUCCCUUCAUUGGCAAACUUAAAUGCUUUGCAAAUCUUGGACCUAGGUUACUCUGCCAUUAAACAAAUCCCUACUGGCAUGGAGAUGCUAACCAUGCUGAGAGAGCUGGAUGUUUCCGGUUUACACAAAUUAAAGGAUUUGGGUUAUGGGUUGAUUGCCAAGCUACCUGCAUUGAGGCGUAUAUCGUGCUAUAUGGUGGGGAUCUUGCAAGAGCUGCAAAGUUUAAGGUCCCUUGAAAUUCUUGACGUGACAUUCCAUGACAUAAGUGACUACAACAGUUAUGUUAAGUCCGAACAUUGGCGAUUGUUGGACAGUUUCCACCUCCAAGUUGGAGAUACUAUUGAGCAAGAGCAGCAAACUAACAAAGGAGUGUGUCAUUUUAGAAAUAAAGUGUCCUUUUACGGGUGUUCUCUUGUUGGUGAAAGAGAGCAAGAGCAGCUCAUCCUACCAGAAAGUAUAAAUCAGUUGCACAUAGACAAUUGCGAAGGUCUUGGCAGCCUAUGUGAAACGCUGAACUGGAAUGACAAGCCUGAGUUUAAGGAUAGUUUAAUUUCCGAAACUGCCCUGCUAGGAAAUUCUCAAACUUGCAACGCGGAAUGUAAAAACUUGUACUUGGAAAGUACCAGUCUACACAGCUCGAAACAUCACUUAGAUGGAGGCAUAUGUGGUGGAAUCCUUCCGAACCUAGAAAUAUGUACAAUCAGUAGGUGCCAUGACAUUGAAAAAUUGUUCACCCCUAUGCAGAUUAUGGGUCUCGGAAAUCUUGAAACUCUGGAAAUUAGGGAUUGUUCUGAGUUGAAGGAAUUGAUUACUGAGGAAAAUGGUGAUAGAUCCCCAUCAAAAAGUAGUCCUUAUAGUGUCAAGUUGCCAAAUCUGAGAAGGUUAGAACUGACACGGUUGCCAAUGCUGUCCAGCAUUUAUAGGGGUCUAUUGCUUUGCACCUCUCUCCAGUCUAUUAUGGUUGAUGACUGUCCGAAACUUACUCGGCUGCCGUUCUCCUUUUUCUUGGACGAUCAACACAAAUUUCUUCUCCCAACUCUUCAACAAAUUGAAGGAUCAGUUGAAUGGUGGGAUUCAUUACAACUAAGCCAAACGGAUACUAAAUCAUUACUGCAAACUCUUUUCAGAUCAAAAAAGUCUCCAUAGUCGGCUUCAGAAUCAUUAGUUGCUGGUCCGUGAAGGUGGGCAUGAGUGCAGGUCAUGAUCGAGGAGAGCAUGAAACUGUUCAACAAGGUUUUGCGACAUCAUAUCGAGAAUUUUGUGAACUUUGAAGCUGUGAAUGAUGUGAAACUUGAUAAUUUCUUACAAUGGACAUAUAGAUUAUGUAUAAAUCUUUUGUAAUUAGUACCUUUAUAUAUGAAUUGGAAACUCAAUAAGCAUUUGAAACUAUUUCGAAUGAUGAUUUACCUACAUUUUUUUUA